AACGCUGGCGGCGUGCCUAAUACAUGCAAGUCGAACGCACAGCGAAAGGUGCUUGCACCUUUCAAGUGAGUGGCGAACGGGUGAGUAACACGUGGACAACCUGCCUCAAGGCUGGGGAUAACAUUUGGAAACAGAUGCUAAUACCGAAUAAAACUUAGUGUCGCAUGACACAAAGUUAAAAGGCGCUUCGGCGUCACCUAGAGAUGGAUCCGCGGUGCAUUAGUUAGUUGGUGGGGUAAAGGCCUACCAAGACAAUGAUGCAUAGCCGAGUUGAGAGACUGAUCGGCCACAUUGGGACUGAGACACGGCCCAAACUCCUACGGGAGGCUGCAGUAGGGAAUCUUCCACAAUGGGCGAAAGCCUGAUGGAGCAACGCCGCGUGUGUGAUGAAGGCUUUCGGGUCGUAAAGCACUGUUGUAUGGGAAGAACAGCUAGAAUAGGAAAUGAUUUUAGUUUGACGGUACCAUACCAGAAAGGGACGGCUAAAUACGUGCCAGCAGCCGCGGUAAUACGUAUGUCCCGAGCGUUAUCCGGAUUUAUUGGGCGUAAAGCGAGCGCAGACGGUUUAUUAAGUCUGAUGUGAAAGCCCGGAGCUCAACUCCGGAAUGGCAUUGGAAACUGGUUAACUUGAGUGCAGUAGAGGUAAGUGGAACUCCAUGUGUAGCGGUGGAAUGCGUAGAUAUAUGGAAGAACACCAGUGGCGAAGGCGGCUUACUGGACUGCAACUGACGUUGAGGCUCGAAAGUGUGGGUAGCAAACAGGAUUAGAUACCCUGGUAGUCCACACCGUAAACGAUGAACACUAGGUGUUAGGAGGUUUCCGCCUCUUAGUGCCGAAGCUAACGCAUUAAGUGUUCCGCCUGGGGAGUACGACCGCAAGGUUGAAACUCAAAGGAAUUGACGGGGACCCGCACAAGCGGUGGAGCAUGUGGUUUAAUUCGAAGCAACGCGAAGAACCUUACCAGGUCUUGACAUCCUUUGAAGCUUUUAGAGAUAGAAGUGUUCUCUUCGGAGACAAAGUGACAGGUGGUGCAUGGUCGUCGUCAGCUCGUGUCGUGAGAUGUUGGGUUAAGUCCCGCAACGAGCGCAACCCUUAUUGUUAGUUGCCAGCAUUCAGAUGGGCACUCUAGCGAGACUGCCGGUGACAAACCGGAGGAAGGCGGGGACGACGUCAGAUCAUCAUGCCCCUUAUGACCUGGGCUACACACGUGCUACAAUGGCGUAUACAACGAGUUGCCAACCCGCGAGGGUGAGCUAAUCUCUUAAAGUACGUCUCAGUUCGGAUUGUAGUCUGCAACUCGACUACAUGAAGUCGGAAUCGCUAGUAAUCGCGGAUCAGCACGCCGCGGUGAAUACGUUCCCGGGUCUUGUACACACCGCCCGUCACACCAUGGGAGUUUGUAAUGCCCAAAGCCGGUGGCCUAACCUUUUAGGAAGGAGCCGUCUAAGGCAGGACAGAUGACUGGGGUGAAGUC
rnacentral:rRNA from 1 species